rnacentral:lncRNA from 1 species
UACAGGAUAUUUCAAAUGAGUUUGAAAAUCGACAUUCCUGUUUGCAGCCUAGUAAAAUAUAACCUUACAAGGGAUAUAUGAGUUACCCUCACCUUAAUGCUUCUAUCACAUAAUCUUAACUCUUAGUCAUCUUUUCUUCUAGAAAUUACAGAAUACAGAUCAUGCAUUACUUUUACUUCAUAUUUUAAAUAAAAAUAACAAUAUAAAUUGGUGCAUCGGAAUUCUCUCAUUUUUAAAAUUUUUUAAUACUAGCUAUUCAUGUUUAAAGUGUUAAAUGUUUGAAUGGAAAUAACAGAAAACAAAUCAAAAUAUAAAGAAAGAAGAUUCUUAAUAUAAAUAUUAACGAAGGGCAAAUACAGAGAUUCUUAGGCCCUAUAUAAACUGAGGCGAAGAUGAGAGAUUCAAAGGGGUGUCCAAAAUUUAAAUAAUGGGCUAGUUAAUUUAUAUCAAGGAUUUGUAUAUAUCUUACUUUACAAAUCCUUGUUUAUAUGAAUAACAAGAGGCUCUCAAGAGCCUGAAUCGCUCACCUUGAUUUUUUGGCAUUUAUCUUUUGUUUAAGUGUUCAAUUUCAUCGUAGUUCGUUAGUUUGGUUGGAAUUGGUUCAUUAGUUUCAAAGGAGAAGAUUUUUUAAAGUUUGAAAACAUGAUAAACAAGUUUUGUAAAAUUGUCCUUUUUGAAAUUGUCCUUAAAGGACAAUAACUCUUUAAGGGGUCAAUUGACAAUUUUGGUCAUAUGAACUUUUUUGUAAAUCUUACUUUGCUGAACAUAUUUGCUGUUCAAAGCAAUCAUCUUUAUCAUUAAUACUAUUCAAGAUAACCAAAAACUGCAAAAUUUCCUUCAAAUUACGAAUUAAGCGGCAGCAUUCCAACAAUGGGUUAUUAGAUUCAUCUGAAAAUUUCAGGGCUGAUAGAACGUUACCUUACAAACACUCUAACCCCUGUCAGAUUUGUUGAAACUGCUUUGGUUUUUGAGAUAUAAGCCAAAACAGCAUUUUACCCCGAUGUUCUAUUUUUAGCCAUGGCGGCCAUGUUUUUUGACCAAACAGAAAAUAAAACACAAACUUUAUUCUAGAUACCCUAAGGAUCAUUCAGCUUAAGUUUGGUUGGAAUUGGUUCAUUAGUUUCAGAGGAGAAGAUGUUUGAAAUAGUUUACAACAGACGGACGACGAUGACGACGACGGAGGACGCCAAGUGAUGGCUAAAGCUCACUGUUCCUUUGGAAGGGUGAGCUAAAAAACAAGCUGACUAGCAACAGAGAUCUCACUUUACAAAUCAUUGCAAGUGAGCACAAAAAAAAUCAACUGAAGGGUUAAAAUGAUGAGAUUCCAAGAUAGAAAUUAAGAUAAAGAAUUCAGUGUAUAGAACAUAUGUUUUAGUUUGUUUUAUAAAUUAUUGACUCUAAAAUUGUCAUGCACAAAGUAAAAUAACAAAAUUCUGAACUCAAAAGGAAAAUACCUUUAACAAGAGGCUGUCACAACGACAGCAAACCGGAUUUAUUAACAUUUAUUUGUGUCCUGGCAAUAUCACAAGAACCAUUACUGAUGAAUGGUGAAAGUGAAAAUCGUCAAUAUCAAAUUUGACCUCCAUUUUGUCAUCAGUAUCAACAUAUUAAAAUUUGAAAAGCUUAGAUUGAAUGGUUCAUGAGUAAAUGCAAUAAAGUGAAUGGAAACGCCAUUUAACGAUCUUUCAAGAACCAUAACUCCUGAACGGUAAAAGUCAAAAUCGUCAUUAUUAAACUUGACCUCUAUUUUGUCAUCAGUAAC